UUCAAAAAACAUUGGGUGCUUUUCAAGUUGCUGUGUUAUGUGCUUUAUCAGAAACAAAGAUAGAGAGGUGCCAGUAAGAGAGAAAGGGAGAUUUGGAAGAGAGAGAGAGAGAGGUGUCUCCGGCAGCAGGUUCCCGGCACGUGUAGAUGGUGGCGGCUCAAGGGUUUUCAGUGGUUUAGUUCUGACCUAGUGAGUCUCCGGCGACCGGUUUCCGACAUCCUAGCCGCCUGCAACAUAUCCAUUGCUGUAGUCUGGUUGCUUUUUGCUCAAAUUCUGUUGGUUUCUUUUACGUUUUGUUUAAUUGCUGAAUUUUUUGCUUUCGCCUUAGGUUGGUAUGUUUUUACUCAGGUGAUUGGUUAAUCUAUGCAUAAUUUCUGUGUGGUAUGCUUUCAUUUUUCAUGUAGAUAUUGUUAAUGGCUUUUACCUUGUCUGAGGUGUUCAAUUUUGUGUGUAGUCGAUUGUUGUAUUUGGGGUUUAGGGUUAUUCUUUUAAGUAUUAUUUGCGUUUUUUUGCGAUGAUUAGAAGAUAGAAAGAUAAAGGUAGCAGCGCAUUGGUAACUAGGGAUGAGCAUGUGGUACCAACUACCGAUACCAUAUCGAUACCGUCCCGUACCGAUACCAUACCGGUUGUAUUCGGUAUCGGUAUCGCUAUUACGUUUUACCAUUUUUUCGGGAUCGGGAUUUUCGGGAUUGUUACCGGUAUUUUUUGAUAAUACCGAAUUAGUACCGAUUUCCCACUUAUUCCUAUUUCCCACCCAUAAUUCAAGUAGGGUGGUGAACUUUAAUUUAGAACUAGAGUGUAAGUCUUCUCAUUAUCAAUCCAAAUCAAAUUCCAAAUUCUCAUAAACAAAACAUGACGAUCCUAACAUAUUUGUAUGUUAAACUGAAACUGCUUAGCAUGUUAAACUCAAAUUUAUAUAUUUGUAUUAAUAAUAAAAUAUUAAGGAUAAUAAUAAUAGAAAAUUAAAUCUUAACAAAUUUUGGCCCAUAUCAUAAACAGAGGUUUUUUUUUUUGGUAAAAGGUUACCCCUGAAUACUUGCAUUGGGUAUGUUUGUGCAUGAACAAGGAUCUGUCCUAAUAUGCAAAAGGGCCAGUUCGGUCUGUUGAUGUAAGAACCAGGGACCAUGGCUGAGGUUUGGGGUCACCUUAACCUUACGACUUGAUGGUUUUACGACACAAAGGAUAUUUUUUAACCGGCGUACUUAAUAUUCAACAUGUAAGCUAUCAUACUUAAUAAUUUACAUUUGAGCAACAACAUAGUUGUUAGUUGAUCCUUUAUAAAAAAACAAGUGUUAGAAUUUGGUAUCAAAUAUGAAUUAAAAGAGAAUGACAAAUAGAUGAUAGUCGAAUGCUUUAAUUUCCCUAACCAUGCUCUUCAAAUUUCCAGUAUUCUAUAAUGUAUAUGCCUUAACUUUUUUGCAAAUCUUGGUAUCCAAAAUGGGAGAUAGAGCUGGUUGAUGAUUUUGGUGCCAACAUAUCAAUUUAAGAAUUCGGUGCCAACCGGUAUCAUACCGAACAACCAGUAUCGUACCGGUAUUUUCGGUACGGUACCAACUUUUCAUGAAUAUCGGGAUCGGUAUCGGUUCGCUACCGUGCUCACCCCUAUUGGUAACUGGUGGUGAAACCCCGGUAAGUGUUUCCUCACUUACAUGUUCCACCCAUUUGAUAGAUCGGUCGCGGAAGUUCUAAAAAGUCGACCACAACUACACACCCACCAGGUGAAAGGAGUGUAUAUCUGACAUCAUUAACGUCAUCUCCUGUCAUUCUGUUAUCGUAAUUUUAUAGACAUAACUAGCUGGUUUAAUUAAGUACUAAAAUUAUACAAAUUAUACAUUUUCUAUAAACCUAAAUGCUUCGACCUGUUACAUAACCAAUAUAUAUUUUCAGUUGUAUAAAUAGUGUCUGUGUAUGUAGGUGUUUUGGCAUGACUUAACUUUUUUAAAUUAUUAGGUUAUAACAACUGUUAACUAACACUUAACAAUGCUUUAUUAUAUAUAAAAUAUAAUUGACUAACUGUAGCUACAACUAGAGUUAGUUUGCAAGCUAGAGGGGUCAAUGAUAGCACAUGGAGUGAAACUCAUUUUUCUACACAUAUUAUGUCUAUGCAUGUUAUGUUUAAUCGGUGUUCUUACUAUGAUUUUGUUUGUAUAAGUUUGCUAUCUUGUAGAUCCAGGUCAACUAGAAGGAGGCCAGUCUAAAUCCGAGGGCCAGAAGGAUACAGAAGGCACAGAGCGCACGACUUCCAGUAGCAGUGCAAUAAAAUCUACAAAUGAUAGCGCUUUAUCAUCGAAUUCGACUAUAGUUGUUCCUGUUGGCCUUAGCUUAGGAGCGAACUGUAUGUUGAUUUCCGCAAGUUUCCUGAAAUGUACGACAAACCUUCAUGGUUGCACUGGAAUCGAUUCUCAUAUUUGCAGCUUGGAUAUCUUGGAUUUCUGUCUUUCCAUAUUGUCAGCUUUAUGUUUUGUUUACACUGGAAUCGAUUCUCAUAUUUUUACAGUUUGUUGAAGAUGGUGGAUUAAAGAGUUUUUGAAUGAUGCCACUGACUUACCAACUGUCCUUUUACCUGAUGAAACUUUUUCUUUAGCUUUUGUUCUCUCGGCUGAUGUAAUAUUUUUUUAGGCUUCAACUUUGGUUUCGGUGGAUUUCGGUGCGUUGUUGCUUUCCAGUGGCCUGUCUCAAGCGGAACAUGUGUCAUAUCUUAGGUUGAGAACGGCCAAGGAGAUAUUGAGAUUAGGUGCUGGAUAACAUCUGUCAUGCUUUAAGCAUGUGGUGUACAUAAUAAUUCUUGCUGGCACGGCAAAUGAAAAUGUAGUGGCGAGUUUCGUUAGUGUAUGUUGUUUAGUUAUAUAUAUAUAUAGAUGAUCCUCAGACUGUUUUUGCUACAUGAAAGGUAGAAUUAAACCACUACAAAGAUUUGAUUCUUUUGUAAUUUUGUUUUACUUGAAUGAAGUAGAUAGAUUAUAAGGA